rnacentral:rRNA from 1 species
GACGAACGCUGGCGGCGUGCCUAAUACAUGCAAGUAGGACGCUGAAGGAGGAGCUUGCUUCUCUGGAUGAGUUGCGAACGGGUGAGUAACGCGUAGGUAACCUGCCUGGUAGCGGGGGAUAACUAUUGGAAACGAUAGCUAAUACCGCAUAAUAGUAGAUGUUGCAUGACAUUUGCUUAAAAGGUGCAAUUGCAUCACUACCAGAUGGACCUGCGUUGUAUUAGCUAGUUGGUGGGGUAACGGCUCACCAAGGCGACGAUACAUAGCCGACCUGAGAGGGUGAUCGGCCACACUGGGACUGAGACACGGCCCAGACUCCUACGGGAGGCAGCAGUAGGGAAUCUUCGGCAAUGGACGGAAGUCUGACCGAGCAACGCCGCGUGAGUGAAGAAGGUUUUCGGAUCGUAAAGCUCUGUUGUAAGAGAAGAACGAGAGUGAGAGUGGAAAGUUCACACUGUGACGGUAUCUGACCAGAAAGGGACGGCUAACUACGUG